ACCUUGGUGACGAGUGUCAAAUAGGACGAAACCUAGGUCCAUGAU
rfam:Schistosoma mattheei strain Denwood, Zambia genome assembly, scaffold: SMTD_scaffold0011739